AACGAACGCUGGCGGCAUGCCUAACACAUGCAAGUCGAACGAAGGCUUCGGCCUUAGUGGCGCACGGGUGCGUAACGCGUGGGAAUCUGCCCCUCGAUUCGGAAUAACAGUUAGAAAUGACUGCUAAUACCGGAUGAUGACUUCGGUCCAAAGAUUUAUCGCCGAGGAUGAGCCCGCGUAAGAUUAGGUAGUUGGUGGGGUAAAGGCCUACCAAGCCGACGAUCUUUAGCUGGUCUGAGAGGAUGAUCAGCCACACUGGGACUGAGACACGGCCCAGACUCCUACGGGAGGCAGCAGUGGGGAAUAUUGGACAAUGGGCGAAAGCCUGAUCCAGCAAUGCCGCGUGAGUGAUGAAGGCCUUAGGGUUGUAAAGCUCUUUUACCAGGGAUGAUAAUGACAGUACCUGGAGAAUAAGCUCCGGCUAACUCCGUGCCAGCCGCCGCAGUAA
rnacentral:rRNA from 1 species